CAUGGUUCGUAUCAGGAUCUGACUACUGAAGCUUCUAAGGAAAUAUGUGACCAGAUAAGGUCAUCACCUUCAGGACCACAAUGCCUGGUAGGGCAAGGACUCGCGCCCGAGGCAGAGCCCGCCGCAGGGAGAGCUACCAACAAGAGGCACCUGGGGGACCCAGAGCACCUGGAUCAGCUACAACCCAGGAGCCCGCUCAGUUGCAGUCGACACCCCGGCCGCUGCAGGAGGAAGUCCCAGUGGUUAGACCUCUGCAGCCAAGAGCAGCAAGAGGAGGAGCACAGUCUCAAGGGGUGAAGGAACCUGGACCUGAGGCUGGGUUGCAUACAGCGCCCUUGCAGGAGAGAAGGAUUGGUGGAGUUUUUCAAGACCUGGUGGUGAACACUAGGCAAGAUAUGAAGCAUGUUAAAGACUCAAAAACAGGUUCAGAGGGUACAGUGGUACAGCUACUCGCCAACCACUUCCGAGUGAUAUCUCGUCCUCAGUGGGUUGCAUAUAAAUAUAACGUUGACUACAAACCAGACAUAGAAGAUGGAAAUCUCCGUACAAUUUUACUUGAUCAACAUAGAAGGAAGUUUGGAGAGCGCCAUAUAUUUGAUGGAAACUCUUUAUUAUUAUCUCGGCCACUAAAAGAGCGGAGAGUGGAAUGGUUGAGCACAACCAAAGACAAAAACAUCGUGAAGAUUACAGUUGAGUUUUCCAAAGAACUCACGCCCACGUCGCCAGAUUGCCUACGCUAUUACAACAUUCUCUUUAGAAGAACUUUCAAGCUGCUGGAUUUUGAACAAGUUGGUCGCAACUAUUAUACCAAAAAGAAGGCCAUUCAGUUAUACCGUCAUGGUACCAGUUUGGAAAUCUGGCUGGGUUAUGUUACUUCUAUUCUUCAAUACGAAAACAGCAUUACCCUCUGUGCCGAUGUGAGCCACAAACUGCUCCGAAUAGAAACUGCUUAUGAUUUCAUAAAGAGAACAUCUGCCCAGGCCCAGACAGGAAACAUCCGAGAGGAAGUAACUAAUAAAUUAAUUGGAUCAAUUGUUCUGACAAAAUACAACAACAAAACCUACAGAGUAGAUGAUAUUGAUUGGAAGCAGAAUCCUGAAGACACAUUUAACAAAUCAGAUGGCAGCAAAAUCACCUAUAUAGACUACUACAGGCAGCAACAUAAAGAAAUUGUCACAGUGAAGAAACAGCCACUUUUGGUCAGCCAGGGCAGAUGGAAAAAGGGCCUAACGGGUACACAACGUGAACCUAUCCUGCUGAUUCCUCAGCUGUGCCACAUGACAGGUCUAACAGAUGAAAUACGUAAAGAUUAUAGCAUUAUGAAAGAAUUGGCUAAACAUACAAGAUUGAGUCCAAGAAGAAGGCAUCAUACAUUAAAAGAAUUCAUCAAUACUCUACAAGAUAAUAAAAAAGUACGAGAGUUACUUCAACUCUGGGAUCUGAAAUUUGAUACCAAUUUUUUAUCCGUCCCGGGAAGAGUUUUGAAAAACGCAAACAUCGUGCAAGGCAGAAGAAUGGUUAAAGCCAAUUCACAAGGAGACUGGUCAAGAGAAAUAAGAGAAUUACCCUUACUUAAUGCAAUGCCACUACAUAGUUGGCUCAUACUCUAUAGCAGGAGCAGUCACAGAGAAGCCAUGACCUUAAAGGGUCAUCUACAGAGUGUCACAGCCCCCAUGGGCAUAACUAUGAAACCAGCAGAAAUGAUUGAAGUAGAUGGUGAUGCUAACUCCUAUAUAGACACAUUACGGAAAUAUACUAGACCAACACUGCAGAUGGUGAUUUGUAUCCUGCCCAAUGAUGACAAACGUAGAUAUGACAGCAUAAAAAGAUACCUGUGUACCAAAUGCCCAAUUCCAAGCCAGUGUGUGGUGAAAAAGACCUUAGAAAAAGUCCAGGCAAGGACCAUCGUCACCAAGAUUGCCCAGCAGAUGAAUUGCAAGAUGGGAGGAGCCCUCUGGAAGGUGGAGACAGACGUACAAAGAACAAUGUUCGUUGGCAUUGAUUGUUUCCACGAUAUCGUAAAUCGACAGAAAUCAAUAGCAGGAUUUGUUGCAAGUACCAAUGCUGAAUUAACAAAGUGGUACUCUCAAUGUGUCAUCCAGAAAACAGGAGAAGAGCUUGUCAAAGAGCUGGAGAUCUGCUUGAAAGCUGCCCUGGAUGUCUGGUGUAAAAACGAAUCAUCGAUGCCACAUUCUGUUAUUGUGUAUCGCGAUGGAGUGGGAGAUGGUCAGCUUCAAGCAUUGCUUGACCAUGAAGCGAAAAAGAUGUCGACCUACUUAAAAACCAUCUCUCCUAACAAUUUCACUCUAGCUUUCAUUGUGGUGAAGAAACGAAUAAACACUAGAUUUUUUCUUAAACAUGGAAGCAAUUUUCAAAAUCCACCUCCAGGAACAGUUAUUGACGUAGAGUUGACUAGGAAUGAAUGGUAUGACUUUUUUAUUGUGAGUCAGUCUGUGCAAGAUGGGACUGUUACCCCCACUCAUUAUAACGUCAUCUAUGACACGAUUGGCUUGAGCCCAGAUACAGUACAGCGUUUAACAUAUUGUCUAUGCCACAUGUAUUAUAAUUUGCCAGGCAUCAUCCGAGUUCCAGCGCCUUGCCACUAUGCCCACAAGCUGGCUUACCUCGUGGGGCAGUCCAUUCACCAGGAACCGAAUCGUUCCUUGUCAACUCGUCUCUUUUACCUUUGA
rnacentral:sRNA from 1 species